rnacentral:lncRNA from 1 species
GCAUCUUGAUAUAUUUUACUUGAAUAUAAAUGGUCCUUACUUACAUAAAGCAUUUUAUUCUUCACAUCAUAUGCCUAUUAGCACAGAUGGUAUUUUAAUAAAUUGUAAAUUCUUUGCAUAAGCAAAGAAAUAGUUUUUGAAAAUAAUCCAUACUGAUCUAAAAUUAAAUAGUUAAUGCUGCUAUUGUAUAAAGUAGCAUGUGUAACAUCUGUAUAAUUUUGGAUUUUGUUAAAAAUAUGUUCAUUUCUAGUUGUGCACAUGGUUCUAUAUAAACUUUACUGAAAUUUUGAACUUUACUCACAGAGUGUUAAAUCCUUGCAUAAUCAAGUUCAUAUUAUUUAUCUGGUAAUAUAUUCUUUCAUUCUCAGCAAAAUCUUUUCUUGGUAAAGUUUGGCUCUGCUAAACUUUUUCUUUCACACUUGUUUUUUAAGAUAUAGAGAAAAACUGUAAUUUAAAGAACCUCUUUGAGUAUAAAUUUAACAAGUAAUAUUUAGUAGCUGGAAAAUGAAGAUUGAGCCAUUUGGGCUACUGUUUUAUACUGUCUUAAAGUUACAUUAGUUCAAACAUCUGUAGCACUGUUUAACUGAUAUUUUAAAAGUCCUAUUACUCUUAAUCUCAAAUGUAGCAUUAGUAUUCCUAAGUGAAUAGAAUUAGAACUCAUAAGUGUUCAUAAGGUUCUCAAGUACUGUGACAUGUUUAUUUUGUGACAUAAAGCUAUUACAUAGAUCCUGUAUUUCUGAUAGACAUACUAACAGACACCAAAGGUACAAUAAAUGUCUGUGCUCAUUGUUGUUUGGAUUUUACACAGUAAUGGUGAUUUUAAGCCCAAUCAGAAGCUGAUCCUUAGAAGCAGGUAUUUUUCUAAAGAAAGGGUGACUUAUUUUUCAGAAAAUUAUAGAACUAUACCAUAAAUAAUACAACUUCAACAUUUAGUAAAAAUAAAUGAUUUUAAAGGCCCAGACCCACAGUCUUUUAUGAAAGACAUUUUUUCAUGAGGAUCAGGCCACUAGUCGUAAAAACUAUGCAAAUGUUUUUUCCAUGACAGAACUUUCUUUUAAAUCAUGUCAACUUUUUAUUUUCUCAUUUCUGGUCCCUAUUGGAAGGUAUCUAUAUUGAAUGAUCCCUAACCUUACUUUUGAGAUGUGUACCAUAGAUGGUGCAUAUUUUAAGCUUAUCCCAAAAUAGAAGUUUAAAAGAACCCCCCAAAAAAACUGAAAAGGCAAGAAAAAUCUAUAGUUAGACUAUAAAUCAUGCUCGUCAGAGUGAGAAACUUUUAUCAACCUUACAAAAUUUUGAUUUUAAUAAAAUCCUUUAUUUCUAAAUAUUAAAAAAUAAAAAGUUUUAAAAUCGUGAAAUUCUUUUUUUAUGUUGGCAUCUCUCAUAUGAUGUUACUCAAUUUAGAUGUAACUAUUUUACACAUUAAAAUUUUAAAGGCAAACACAAUUCCCUAAAUUUUUUCAGAAAUGCUUGUGCUAUCUUAAUGAAAACAAGUAUUCCUGACUAAAAUUUUCUAACUGAAAAUAAUUGAAGAAACAUGUUUGAAAAUACCAGUUACUUUUUCAAGCCUAAAAGAACCAUUUGCUAUAGGCAGGAUAACUGAAGAUGACACUUCUGUUUUAUAAUUCUUUAUUUUACUGGGAAGUAAAAUUGUCAGAUGGGAAGACUUAAUAAAAUGACAUAUUUGGAGAUAAUUGUUUGUAGGUACAGCUGCAGCUUACAGUUAAUUAACAACUAUAUUUCCUAAAUGAGUAUAAUAAUUAUUUUCACCUGAAAAUAUAUUUCAAGUACUUUUUAUUUAUGCUUUUUUUUUUUGUCUCCUAUGGAGAAAAAAAUCAAUGCUUAUGGUGAAAACAUGCAAACAAUCAGCCAACCAGGAGCAUUUAAUAUGGCUAUUGUAAAUUAAAAUAAGUGUAUAAGGUAAUUUUUAAAAACCUUUCCUAGGGAUUAGAAUAAACUCAUCAUGCCUGAGUAGUUGUUUACCCUUGAAAGAUAAGGGAAAACCCAAAACUCAAAUUUCAUGCAUCACUUAAAAUGGUAGUUCAUAUUAUAAAAAUGUAAUCCACCAUUUUCAAUACAAUAUGAUAUACCCUCAUUCUGCACAGCCACACAUUUAUAUAAACAUAACUUAUCCUCUUUCUACUUGAAGAUGGACUGUUUUCAUUUCAGUAUUUAAAAUAAGAUUUGAGAUUAUCCUCCAUAAAUUUUUGUGGAACACCACAUUUUAAUGAUAGCACUGACACAUUAUGGUGUUGCAGCUUAGGUAUAUAAGAAUACCUAAUUUCAGGGACUUAUUCAAGGACUUGCCAAACAUAAAUCUAAGAAAAAGGAACAAGUGUUGAUUAGUUAACAUAACAACACUAAUGUUCUUUUGGGUUUUGCUUUUUAGUUUGUUUAUUCAUGCAUUUAUUUUACCUGAUUCAAUAAUCAGGGGAAUGAGAAAAUAGAAUGUGAAAAUGCAUUAAUAUUUGUGAAGUAUACAGUCUUCUCACAAAAAAUCUGAACAAUUGAUGCUAUUUUUACACUAGUUUCUUAAUAUUUUUCUGGUCAAUUAAAAAUUUUUAUCAGGCCAGCCCUGUUUCUGGCACUUUAUUUUACAUGUAAAACACAUGAUGUUAAUACAUUCACAGUUCAAUUAAAAAUAUCAUCAGGACUAGUGCCAGGGAACUAGAGAUGGAAGCACAGAACCAAGCGCCCACUUUCUUAUGCAGUUUCCGGGAGUGUGUGCAUGUUCUAGUUACUGCAGGGAGAUCACAGCUGAUCAAUAUUGACUCAGGUUUUAGGUAAAAGAAAAAUAUAUUUGAACCUAUUUGGUUCUAAUAUUUAAUUGACAAUUCCGUCUGUAUUAUCUUUUGUAAUAUUUAUUAUUUUAAAACUUUGCAAACUCAAGAAGUAUCAAUCUCUUAAGGCUUUCAUUUAAUGAUUAAUUGCUUCAGAAAUGAAAAAGCCAAACUUUCACUUCUUUCUCAACUUUUUUUAUUAUCCAUGAAACAAAAUAGAAAUUAUUUGAGAAUGAGUUUUCAAAAGAGCCAUAGACUAUUGCAAAUAAAGUAACACAAAAUCUUAACAUUGAACACAUGGUUAUUUCUUUAACUCUUUAAAAAGAAUACUUUCUAUUAUCUCAUAUAUUUUCAUGGAAUGGAGUUCCAUAUGAUUUUCUUUGCCACCCGAGUUGCAAUUAUGACCAAGUAUUUUAAUUAUCUGAUAAUAUUUUUAAAAGAAUGAAGAAAACUAGAGUUGAUCAGGAUUUAAGAAAAUCAUUCAUCCUCUACUAAAUCUGUUCUUGAAGCAGCUCCAGUUGUUUCGAUGUACUUUAAUUGAUUUAAACUUUUAGGGUUUAUAGGCUAAGAAUAUAUUGCUUGCCAUAAGGGAUUAUACAAAAGCAUGGAAAGUAAAAUAAUUUAAAUUAAGAAUCUACACAACUAAAUAGCAGUUAAACACAGAUGUUAAAGCAUAUGGAAAUAAAGACAUUGAAUACAAAAAUCAAAAACCACCUUUGUAUGUUCAAUUUUAGGGGAAAAUAACUCCUCUAACACUGUUCAAAAAAUCCCAUGACACAGAUUUUAAUAGUUAUUCAAUGACGUGGCUCAGGAUAUGAUUCAGCUAAACCUGUUAAGACCCAUUAUUUUAUUUUUUAUUUUAUUUUACUUUGCUUUUUAGGGCCGCACCUGCGGCAUAUGGAGGUUCCCAGGCUAGGGGUCUAAUCUGAGCUACAGCUGCCAGCCUGCGCCACAGCCACAGCAACGCCAGCUCCAAGCUGCAUCUGCGACCUACACCACAACUCACAGAAAGGCCAGAUCCUUAACCCACUGAGCAAGGCCAGGGAUCGAACCGGCAACCUCAUGGUUCCUAGUUGGAUUCGUUUCUGCUUCACCACCACGGGAACUACCAAGACCCCUUAUUUUAAAUAAAGUAGUGAGUUUAUAUUUUACAUGGGAAAGACAGCUAAUUAAACUAAAUGUUUCCAAUAUGUUAUUCAGUGAUACUCUUUAAGGUAAGAAUUUUCUAUUAAAAGACUUUUCCUAUAUUUGCUCAAUCUUAUGUUAAAGUAAAUAGCAGUUUGAUAAAAGAUGUAUUGGUAAUACUUGUCAUCUGUAAAUAACAGUUAAGUAAAAAGAGGUGUAUUUGAACAGUGGCAAUUAAUAAAUAUUCAGUUCAAGUGUUUUCUCAUCACAGUAAAAAACUUUUUAUUUCCACCCAGUACAUCAUGAAGACUGGUAACCAAAGUUUGACUUGAUUGUGUGAUAAUUUCACACUAUAGAGACUUUAAAAAGAAAGCACUAACUUAAGAGCUGAGGUGGGACUUAAGGAUUUAUUGAAUGCAAACAUUUUGGAUAUUAGAGAGGUGAUUGAAAAGAUAGGAUUCUUCAUGUUUAAAACAAUUUAAAUAUACUCCUAAAUGAGAAUUCAUUAGAAUAGAACUAUUUUUAUCUAUUCUGAAAUAUUGGAAAUGACUCGCUACUAAUGGAUCUAAAGUUACAUAUAGUAUUUGUAUGGAAAUGUUUUCAUCUCAAACUCACAAUAAAUUCUUCUAAGCUCAUCUGGGUCAUGAAUACCCUCUCCAAAGAGAAAACCAUGUCUGACUUUUGUCAUAAACGUGUAAAAAUAGGCCAUAUCUGCAGAAAUUUUGUUCUGAUUUGCACCUGCUAUGCACAGGACCUCCAUUUUCUGUACAGGGUGGUGGAUUUCAAUUAUUUGAUUUAUAUUUUCGUGUUUUUGUUUCCUCAAAAAUAAUUUAUUGAAUAACAAUACAUAUUAUAGAAAUGAGUCAAAAAUUGUUAAGAGGAGUUCUUAUGGCUCAGAGGUAAUGAACCCAGCUAGUAUCCAUGAGGAAGCAGGUUCAAUCCCUGGCCUCUCUCAGUGGUUAAUUAUUCAGCAUUGCUAUGAGCUCCAGUGUAGGUCACAGACGUAGCUCAGAUCCUGUGUUGCUGUGGCUGUGGUAUAGGCUGGCAGCUGUAAUUCUAACUCAACCCCUGGAAACCUCCGUAUGCCACAGGUGUGGCCCUGAAAAGCAAAAACGAAAAAAAGAAAAGAAAAGUUGGAUAAACCCCAAUGUUUGAAGAUUAAUGCUUUGGAUUUUUGUUUUUGUUAUCUUUUCAGAAUUUUUUGUUGUUGUUAUUUUCCCAAUCUGAACAUCAAUACAGGGAAUUAUGUUUGACUAUGGUUUUGCUGUAGGAUAAAUCGUGUGAACUAGAAAAACCUCUAUAAUCCCUAAGGCUCUGUACAAACUGGCCACAAAAUCACACUCUUUAAAAAUUGCAUGGCUUAUUACAUUUAUAUCCAUAUAUAUAGAGCUAGCCAUGUAUAGAUCAUUUUGUGGAUUUUAUUAUAUACUUUUGUUUUUUCAUUUAAAACUACAGUAAUCCUAGUGCAAAUAGCUUCAUAAAUUCUCUCACUGCAUAAGAAAGGAGCAGGUAGACCAACUGUAAUACACAAAAUAUAUGCAUUUAUAGUUUUAAUUAAAAAAUCCAACCCAAGUUUAUGUCAUUUGCAUUAACCUUUUUUUGUUUGUUUGUUUCACCCAUGGCAUAUGGAAGUUCCUGGACCAGGGAUUGAAUCCGAACCACAGCUGUAACUUACACUUCAGUUGUGGCAAUGCCAGAUCCUUUAACCCACUGCUCUGGGCCAGGUAUCAAACCUGUGUCUCUGCAGCGCAGUGACCCAAGCCGCUGCAGUCGGAUUCUUAAUCCACUGUGUCAUAGCAGGAACUCCUGCAUUACUUUUUUUUAUUGACCCUCCCAAAUGACAGAAAUGAUUGGGUUCAUAUGCAAAAUAUAAAUUAUAGAAUACACGUAAUGAGAUAUCCACUGAAGAAUGACAAAUUAAAAAUAUAAAUUUCUCACAUUGUAAAAAUGAUGAUUCCACUAAUGAACUGUCUAAGAUAUUUGCAGAUUAUUCUAAGCUGACAGAAACCAUGAUAAAUCUUCAUUUCAUACAUGACAUUGAAUAAUUUGGAUCUGUUGUAUAGGAUCUUUUUUCGUAUCCCUCAGUUAUUGUUCAUAAGGUGGCUUUUUAGCUGAAGUUUGUGAUGUAAAACUAGCCAUUGUUCAAAUCAUUAUCUUUGACUUCCAUAUUAUAGAGUAGAAAUUUUAAAAUCUUUUGUAAUUCAUGUUUCUUGCUUUUCUACAGGUAACCAGCCAUUUGUGAAACUUGACAGUGUAUAAUUGUAUUACUUAGAACAAAUGUUUUGCAACCAACUUUAAAAGAUGUUACAUAUUUCAGUAUUUUUACAAUGUCUUCUUUAAAAUAUGUGAACAUAUUUGUCAGGUUCAGAUUAAUUAGGUAACAAUGAAACCUCAAAGCUGUUAUGAAGUGUAAAAUUUAUGAUUACUUUUGUAAAAGAAAAUGGAAAAGCACUUGAAAUAUAAUUUUACUGUUUCAUAUGUAUUUUGAAAAAUAAAGUGAUUAU